rnacentral:lncRNA from 1 species
GUAAUCUACUCAACUAGCCAAUCACCAGUCACAGGUAAUCUACUCAACUAGCCAAUCACCAAUCACAGGUAAUCUACUCAACUAGCCAAUCACCAAUCACGGGUAAUCUACUCAACUAGCCAAUCACCAACAGGUAAUCUACUCAACUAGCCAAUCACCAAUCACAGGUAAUCUACUCAACUAGCCAAUCACCAGUCACAGGUAAUCUACUCAACUAGCCAAUCACCAAUCACAGGUAAUCUACUCAAUUAGCCAAUCACCAAUCACGGGUAAUCUACUCAACUAGCCAAUCACCAAUCACAGGUAAUCUACUCAACUAGCCAAUCACCAGUCACAGGUAAUCUACUCAACUAGCCAAUCACCAAUCACAGGUAAUCUACUCAAUUAGCCAAUCACCAAUCACGGGUAAUCUACUCAACUAGCCAAUCACCAAUCACAGGUAAUCUACUCAACUAGCCAAUCACCAAUCACAGGUAAUCUACUCAAUUAGCCAAUCACCAAUCACAGGUAAUCUACUCAAUUAGCCAAUCACCAAUCACAGGUAAUCUACUCAAUUAGCCAAUCACCAAUCACAGGUAAUCUACUCAAUUAGCCAAUCACAGGUAAUCUACUCAAUUAGCCAAUCACCAAUCACAGGUAAUAUACUCAACUAGCCAAUCACCAAUCACAGAUGAUCACGGAGCUCUUCACUAACCA